GAUCUUGCGACAAUGGGCGAAAGCCUGACGCAGCAACGCCGCGUGCGCGACGAAGGCNNNCGGGUNGUAAAGCGCUUUUCGGGNAGANGAGUACGGACAGUAUCCCCGGAAGAAGGAUCGGCUAACUACGUGCCAGCAGCCGCGGUAAAACGUAGGAUCCGAGCGUUAUCCGAAUUCACUGGGCGUAAAGCGCAUGCAGGCGGCCGCACAAGUUGGAUGUGAAAUCUCCCGGCUCAACUGGGAGGGGACGUUCAAAACUGUGCGGCUCGAGGGCGGUAGAGGAAGGUAGAAUUCCCGGUGUAGUGGUGAAAUGCGUAGAUAUCGGGAGGAAUACCCGUGGCGAAGGCGACCUUCUGGACCGUUUCUGACGCUCAGAUGCGAAAGCUAGGGGAGCGAACGGG
rnacentral:rRNA from 1 species